GAAAAGUUACCACAGGGA
rnacentral:ncRNA from 3 species